UGGGGAAUUUUGGACAAUGGGGGAAACCCUGAUCCAGCCAUCCCGCGUGUGCGAUGAAGGCCUUCGGGUUGUAAAGCACUUUUGGCAGGAAAGAAACGUCGCGGGUUAAUACCCCGCGAAACUGACGGUACCUGCAGAAUAAGCACCGGCUGACUACGUGCCAGCAGCCGCGGUAAUACGUAGGGUGCAAGCGUUAAUCGGAAUUACUGGGCGUAAAGCGUGCGCAGGCGGUUCGGAAAGAAAGAUGUGAAAUCCCGGAGCUUAACUUUGGAACUGCAUUUUUAACUACCGGGCUAGAGUGUGUCAGAGGGAGGUGGAAUUCCGCGUGUAGCAGUGAAAUGCGUAGAUAUGCGGAGGAACACCGAUGGCGAAGGCAGCCUCCUGGGAUAACACUGACGCUCAUGCACGAAAGCGUGGGGAGCAAACAGGAUUAGAUACCCUGGUAGUCCACGCCCUAAACGAUGUCAACUAGCUGUUGGGGCCUUCGGGCCUUGGUAGCGCAGCUAACGCGUGAAGUUGACCGCCUGGGGAGUACGGUCGCAAGAUUAAAACUUAAAUGAAUUGAC
rnacentral:rRNA from 1 species